AUUGAACGCUGGCGGCAUGCCUUACACAUGCAAGUCGAACGGUAACAGGUCUUCGGAUGCUGACGAGUGGCGAACGGGUGAGUAAUGUAUCGGAACGUGCCCAGUCGUGGGGGAUAACUACUCGAAAGAGUGGCUAAUACCGCAUACGACCUGAGGGUGAAAGCGGGGGACCGUAAGGCCUCGCGCGAUUGGAGCGGCCGAGAUCAGAUUAGGUAGUUGGUGGGGUAAAGGCCCACCAAGCCGACGAUCUGUAGCUGGUCUGAGAGGACGACCAGCCACACUGGGACUGAGACACGGCCCAGACUCCUACGGGAGGCAGCAGUGGGGAAUUUUGGACAAUGGGCGCAAGCCUGAUCCAGCAAUGCCGCGUGAGUGAAGAAGGCCUUCGGGUUGUAAAGCUCUUUUGUCAGGGAAGAAACGGUAGAGGCUAAUAUCCUUUGCUAAUGACGGUACCUGAAGAAUAAGCACCGGCUAACUACGUGCCAGCCGCCGCCGUAACAC
rnacentral:rRNA from 1 species